AUCACUUUGGCAGAAAUAUGCAUUAGAUUUAGGAUCUAAAUAUAUAAUAUAUUUAUAGGUGAUA
rnacentral:tRNA from 1 species